rnacentral:rRNA from 1 species
GGGAUAACUAUUGGAAACGAUAGCUAAUACCGCAUAACAAUGGGUGACACAUGUCAUUUAUUUGAAAGGGGCAAUUGCUCCACUACAAGAUGGACCUGCGUUGUAUUAGCUAGUAGGUGAGGUAACGGCUCACCUAGGCGACGAUACAUAGCCGACCUGAGAGGGUGAUCGGCCACACUGGGACUGAGACACGGCCCAG